rfam:Candidatus Moranella endobia PCIT, complete genome.
CGUGAUAUCGGCGUUAGUGAAUCUAUUAUUCCACUAUUCCAAAGUUCUUUUGGUUGGAGUGUUAUCAUGUCUCUAAGUGUUGAAGAAAAAAAGAACAUUAUUGCUAAUUUUGGUCGUGAUACC